rnacentral:rRNA from 1 species
AUGAACGCUGUCGGCGUGCCUAAUACAUGCAAGUCGAGCGAACAGACGAGGAGUUUGCUCCUCUGACGUUAGCGGUGGACGGGUGAGUAACACGUGGAUAACCUACCUAUAAGACUGGGAUAACUUCGGGAAACCGGAGCUAAUACCGGAUAACAUGUUGAACCGCAUGGUUCAACAGUGAAAGACGGUCUUGCUGUCACUUAUAGAUGGAUCCGCGCCGCAUUAGCUAGUUGGUAAGGUAACGGCUUACCAAGGCAACGAUGCGUAGCCGACCUGAGAGGGUGAUCGGCCACACUGGAACUGAGACACGGUCCAGACUCCUACGGGAGGCAGCAGUAGGGAAUCUUCCGCAAUGGGCGAAAGCCUGACGGAGCAACGCCGCGUGAGUGAAGAAGGUCUUCGGAUCGUAAAACUCUGUUAUUAGGGAAGAACAAAUGUGUAAGUAACUAUGCACGUCUUGACGGUACCUAAUCAGAAAGCCACGGCUAACUACGUG